CGAAGAUAGAGUGGCCGGUCGGUAGCUCCUGCGCCCGUUCAACGGGUUCUUCCCAGCCACGG
rnacentral:ncRNA from 1 species